UUUUUGGAGAGUUUGAUCCUGGCUCAGGACGAACGCUGGCGGCGUGCCUAAUACAUGCAAGUCGAGCGGACUUGACGGAAGCUUGCUUCCGUUCAAGUUAGCGGCGGACGGGUGAGUAACACGUGGGUAACCUGCCUGUAAGACUGGGAUAACUCCGGGAAACCGGGGCUAAUACCGGAUAUUCUUUUUCUUCGCAUGAAGCAGAAUGGAAAGGCGGCUUUUAGCUGUCACUUACAGAUGGACCCGCGGCGCAUUAGCUAGUUGGUGAGGUAACGGCUCACCAAGGCCACGAUGCUUAGCCGA
rnacentral:rRNA from 1 species